AUGAAGGAAGUGGGUAGACCCCACAAACUGUACUGCAUGUAACUGCUUGCUUGGGUCCUUCCAUGUGACUGAAGGGAAGCACUUGUUUACUUCUUUCGUCCUAUUUAUACAUUGCUUGCUCCACCUUACUUUUUUAUCAGAACACACACACAAAGCACAAAACACAAAGCACAACCAAAAGCCAAAAUACAAGAGAAGCAAUGAAACAAAACUACCAAGUCUUUCUCAUGUUUUCUCUCUUAGCUUUUCUUAUUUUCUCCACCUCAUCACAUGCUCGUCUUCUGCAACAAAACCAAGCUUCAUUAUCUGCAACAAAUGAUCCUAUAGAGCUGAUGGGAUCAGAAGAAUGUGAUGACAGAGAUGAAGAGUGUCUGAAGAGAAGGUUGAUUGCAGAAGCUCACUUGGAUUAUAUUUAUACCCAAAACCAUAAGCCGUAGAUGGGCAUCUCCAAAGGCAAAUUAUAUAUACUAGAACUCUGCUCUCUUUUUUUUCUCUUUUUUCCCUUCGGGGUGCAAGUAAAGAGCAUACUAUAUAAGAAAAUACAUGUAAUCGCUACAUAAUGGUACCGUAUGAGUAUGAUCAGAUAUAAAUGGCUACCAAAUUAUUGAUUUCCUUCA